ACGAACGCUGGCGGCGUGCUUAACACAUGCAAGUCGAACGGAAAGGCCCUGCUUUUGUGGGGUGCUCGAGUGGCGAACGGGUGAGUAACACGUGAGUAACCUGCCCUUGACUUUGGGAUAACUUCAGGAAACUGGGGCUAAUACCGGAUAGGAGCUCCUGCUGCAUGGUGGGGGUUGGAAAGUUUCGGCGGUUGGGGAUGGACUCGCGGCUUAUCAGCUUGUUGGUGGGGUAGUGGCUUACCAAGGCUUUGACGGGUAGCCGGCCUGAGAAGGUGACCGGCCACAUUGGGACUGAGAUACGGCCCAGACUGCUACGGGAGGCAGCAGUGGGGAAUAUUGCGCAAUGGGCGGAAGCCUGAUGCAGCAACGCCGCGUGCGGGAUGACGGCCUUCGGGUUGUAAACCGCUUUCGCCUGUGACGAAGCGUGAGUGACGGUAAUGGGUAAAGAAGCACCGGCUAACUACGUG
rnacentral:rRNA from 1 species